rnacentral:rRNA from 1 species
GAUCAGCCCGCGCCCCGUAAAAAGGGACGGCCCGCCCGAGGACCCCUAAACUCUGUUUUUAGUGGAACUUUUGAGGAAAACUCAACAAAUAAAUCAAAACUUUCAACAACGGAUCUCUUGGUUCUGGCAUC